rnacentral:lncRNA from 1 species
GCCCUGCUGUUCCUGGUCUCCUAAUUAGAGCGAGACGUGGUCAUGUGCAUCCCCUGCAGCUUUUCCGGACUGUUUUUCACCCAGCUGAGCAGAGGCAGGGCUGUUAGUCCUCGUCACGGUAGAUGAUCAUGGGUCACGCGUGGUCAGAUGUUUGUUCUGGGAAGUUGGGUCUUCAGAGUAUGAGACUGUCACCUCUCCCCCUUUUCCAUGUUCUGGAGGCUUCUAACCCGCAAGACUUAAGGAGGCCCCAGCGCCCUGGAGGGCUGCUUCUCCCACCCCAGGCAUGUGCCUUCCUGGACUCAACCUGGUUGUAGGUGUGCAGUCCUCUCUCCUCUUUUGAAAGCCUGACUUUGCUCACACGGGUGGGUCUCGCGACAACCUUCUCUGUGAGACACUCUGCAGGUAACCCAGGUCUGUCUCCGUGGGGGGCUGUGGGCUGCUGCAGCAGAAAGACCAAUGUCCAGACUCUAAAGCACGGACGUUGGUGCUCAUUCACUGAGCAGGUUGGCAGGUGGCUGCCUCCAUUGGGAGGCCCCUCCUGGGGGUGCGUUCUCUGUGUCCUUCGCCCCUUCUGUCCCUGGAUCCAGUUGCAGGUUGGUAAGAAGCGUGGGGAAGGUACAGCCACUUCCCAAAUCCUGGACCAGGUGCUGGCCGGCCUCGCUGGCCCACGUCUCUGGGGAACUCAUCCCAGACUUGGCCAUCUCCCCAGAUGUCUGGCCAUUUCCAAGCUGGUUGUGCGUCAGAAUCACCAAGGUUCUCUGGAGACACGGACGCCUGGCCCCAGGCCCCACAGUGCUGCUUCACAGGCCCCAGGAUCUACGAGGGCCCCAGGGCAGAGUGGAGAGGACAUACCUGGCUUGGGAGACAGGAGCUGGGAGAUGUGAUGUCCCCGUCGGGAGGCACAAGCUGCUAAUUGCUUUGUUUUGCGUUACCAACAUCUGCGGGGAGACAGCAGAUGCCGCCACUUGCCCAGCCUGCUGUCCCCAGAGGUGACCACUCUGUGGCGUCCAGGGCUCUUGGCACAGAACCUGUCAGACCACAGCCAAGCACCCUGUCCGGCUGCCCCCAUGUCCUUGCUGCUAAGACAGUCGCGCCCACACGCUGCCCUGAGAAUGGGCACUGUGGUGACUGCCACUCCUUCCUGCAGCAGCACCAGGAGCAUACUUCUCUCUCCUUCUCGAAGAUUCCAGGCGGAACCUCUCAGCUCGGCGCCACAAAGUGAACGGCUCCACCAAGGUUUCUCUCUCUAAUUUUAAGGGCACCUUUCCCCCCAGGCUGCAGCUCUGGGCUCUCAGAGG